GGCCGGAGGGGUCGCCCUGGGGGCACACGGGGGGUUCUGCCAUGGAGUGACCACCCACUGACCACUGAGUGACCACUGAGUGACCACCGAGUGACCACCGAUGACUGCUGAGUGACUGCUGAGUGGCCACUGAGUGACCACUGAGUGACCACCAUGGAGAGAUCAUGGACUGAGUGACCACUGAGUGGCCACCGAGUGACCACUGAGUGACCAGUGACCCCUGAGUGACCACCAAGUGACCACCAAGUGACCACUGAGUGACCAGUGACUGCUGAGUGACCACUGAGUGACCACGGAGUGACCACUGAGAGAUCAUGGACUGACCACUGAGUGACCAGUGACCCCUGAAUGACCCCUGAGUGCCCCCUGAACUGACCAUGCACUGACCCCCCCCCCGGUGGGGGAGGGGCGGGAAAAAAGGGAAAUAAAAUUAAAUU